GACGUAGGGCGCGAGCGUUGUCCGGAUUUAUUGGGCGUAAAGAGCUCGUAGGCGGCUUGUCGCGUCGACUGUGAAAACCCGCAGCUCAACUGUGGGCUUGCAGCCGAUACGGGCAGGCUAGAGUUCGGUAGGGGAGACUGGAAUUCCUGGUGUAGCGGUGAAAUGCGCAGAUAUCAGGAGGAACACCGAUGGCGAAGGCAGGUCUCUGGGCAUUAACUGACGCUGAGGCGCGAAAGCGUGGGGAGCGAACAGG
rnacentral:rRNA from 1 species